UACGUAGGGUGCGAGCGUUGUCCGGAAUUACUGGGCGUAAAGAGCUCGUAGGUGGUUUGUCGCGUUGUUCGUGAAAACCGGGGGCUUAACCCUCGGCGUGCGGGCGAUACGGGCAGACUUGAGUACUGCAGGGGAGACUGGAAUUCCUGGUGUAGCGGUGGAAUGCGCAGAUAUCAGGAGGAACACCGGUGGCGAAGGCGGGUCUCUGGGCAGUAACUGACGCUGAGGAGCGAAAAGCGUGGGGGAGCGAACAGG
rnacentral:rRNA from 1 species